rnacentral:rRNA from 1 species
AACGUAGGAGGCAAGCGUUAUCCGGAAUUACUGGGCGUAAAGGGCGUCUAGGCGGACGGGCAAGCGCGAUGUGAAAGCCCCCGGCUCAACUGGGGAGGGUCACGCGAUACUGCUCGACUCGAAGGCAGGAGAGGGAAGUGGAAUUCCCGGUGUAGUGGUGAAAUGCGUAGAUAUCGGGAGGAACACCAGUGGCGAAGGCGACUUCCUGGCCUGUUCUUGACGCUGAGGCGCGAAAGCUAGGGGAGCAAACGGG